AUCAGUUGCAAGUUUCUGAGGAGACACUACACAGCUCUGGGAUCCAGUUUGAAGUCAGUAUUAAUUUAGCUGCUUGUGUGAUGGAUAAGUGUUUGAUGACACUCCCAGUCCUGCUCCUGUUCCUGGGCCUGGUUGGGAUAUCCCGCUCCUGUCUGAAUCCUGUCUCUGCAUACAGAUUCACUGGGGCUGUCUGUAUGGUGACCUACUCUGCAGCAGUGGUCUUGUCAACGUGGGACAUUCAGUAGAUUUUGAAAUUGAGUCACAUAUUGAUCUCGGCAUUAACCCCAAACUUUAUUGUGGAAAAGAGAAAGUUGCCACUGACACCUCAGUCUGUUACCUCACCUUCCACAAGCUCAAUCUCCUGCUGCAGGGAGACAAAGAACCUGGCUGGCUGAAGAGGCUGUUUACAGACUAUAUCACCUUCACAGUGAAGUUGGUUAUUAAAAGCCUGGUGAGUGACAUAAGAGGGAAGUUUAAAAUAAGAAAGAAAGAGCACACCCUGUUGUUUGGAAUGGGAACAAAUAAUGGGAAGAACAAGC